GGCACUCGACAGAUCGGGUCUGAGGAGGAGUUUGGUCUGAGUAGGAGCUAGGUACAGUACUGAGUGAAUUAGUACGUAUACGCAGUAGAGUAAUUAUAAAUUAGGUGUUUGCACUGAAGCCGAGUCAGCGACUAAAGGUUGGCUUUUUCUCCAUCCCCUCCCUAUGCCAGGCUUCGGGUCCUGCUAGCCAACUAAAAGAAGCUACUGGUUACUGUACAUCAAACUGCUCUGAGACUCCAGCAAGGGAUGACCGUCUGGGACAGAUUGUAAACCUCUCUGCUUUGUUCAAAACCAACCAACCAGAUAAGUGCACUUUUUAAGUUUUAGCAAUAAUAUUUGUGCUCAAAAGAACUCCUUCGUUUAGACUGAAUCUAUAAAUCUUUAACCAAUCCUAUAUUUGAAUAUUGGACCCACAUGCUUUGUAGCUCUACUUUCAGAGAUAUGACACGUACCACAGUGGCGUAGCCAGCUUCUAAGAGGAGGGGGAGCAAAUAUAAAAAAGGCGCCCCCCCUUGGCUCCUCCU